CGUAAGAGUUGCGUAGGUGGCAUAGCAAGCAGAUAGUGAAAGCCUGGGGCUCAACCCCUUACACAUUAUCUGAACUGCUAAGCUAGAGGACGAGAGAGGUUACUGGAAUUCCCAGUGUAGGAGUGAAAUCCGUAGAUAUUGGGAGGAACACCGAUGGCGUAGGCAGGUAACUGGCUCGUUCCUGACACUAAGGCACGAAAGCGUGGGGAGCGAACGGGAUUAGAUACCCCGGUAGUCCACGCCGUAAACUAUGGAUGCUAGCUGUUAGAAGUAUCGACCCUUCUAGUAGCGAAGCUAACGCGUUAAGCAUCCCGCCUGUGGAGUACGAGCGCAAGCUUAAAACAUAAAGGAAUUGACGGGGACCCGCACAAGCGGUGGAGCGUGUUGUUUAAUUCGACGAUAAGCGAAGAACCUUACCAAGGCUUGACAUCUCGGGAAGAUAUCCGAAAGGAUAUUGUGCCUUCGGGAACCCGAUGACAGGUGUUGCAUGGCCGUCGUCAGCUCGUGUCGUGAGAUGUUUGGUUAAGUCCAUCAACGAGCGCAACCCUUAUAGUCAGUUGAAUUUCUCUGGCUAGACUGCCCCGGCAACGGGGAGGAAGGAGGGGAUGAUGUCAGGUCA
rnacentral:rRNA from 1 species